UACGGGAGGCAGCAGUGGGGAAUAUUGGACAAUGGGCGGAAGCCUGAUCCAGCCAUGCCGCGUGUGUGAAGAAGGCCUUUUGGUUGUAAAGCACUUUAAGCGAGGAGGAGGCUACUAGUAUUAAUACUACUGGAUAGUGGACGUUACUCGCAGAAUAAGCACCGGCUAACUCUGUGCCAGCAGCCGCGGUAAU
rnacentral:rRNA from 1 species